rnacentral:lncRNA from 1 species
UUCGCGUCUCUCUGCUGCGGCGCGGGGACCGCUGUGCUCUCGACCCCUCCUCCUGUAGAGAGUGGUGCUGCCCUCUCGGGAUGUACCUGCAGGUGGAGACCCGCACCAGCUCCCGCCUCCAUCUGAAGAGGGCUCCAGGCAUCCGGUCCUGGUCCCUGCUGGUUGGUAAGGCUCUCCACGUCCCUCCCCAGAACCCCAGAACCGGAAGCCUGACUUUCAAAAAGGAUGAAAAUGAAACAAAAUAUUUUCUCUUUUUUCUAUUACCUUGAAAUCUAAUGGCUAUUUUGUUUCUUUGUAUCCAUUCAAAUUCUAUCUGGUGUACUUGGUUUUACAGAUAAUGCAUGUCUGUUUUGUCCCCUUUUAAUCACUAACACCCAGCGUAUUUAAUAUACUCUAUGAGCUUUUCUGAGGUCACCAUAUUUUCCUUUGUACUUGUUUUGAACCACGUGAUGGGUGAUCGUGGGUUCCCAUGUCUCCUCCU